AGAGCAGUCCAGCACUGUUCGUAGCGGGUGGAAGGAACACCCUGGACAGCAGGUGGGGUUCUGGGUGGAUGGCAGGCCCAGGCUCUGCGGCCUUGCGCAAGACAGAUCGCUCUGAGCCUCGAUGUCUUCGUCCACAAAACAGGGGCAAUGACAAGUACCCGGCAGGGCUGGGUGAGGAUCAGAUGGGCCUUCUGAUACCCUAGAGGCACUGGGCAAUGCGGUGCUGUGGCUCGCUAGGUCUUCGCCCCCAUCCCGCCCCCUCCCAAAGCCCCAGCUCCAGGAGCCCCCCGCAACCCCAGGCGCUUGUCUCACCUGGCUCGGUACACAGGUAGGAG
rnacentral:lncRNA from 1 species